rnacentral:rRNA from 2 species
CAAGGAUGAAAGACGGUUUCGGCUGUCUCUUACAGAUGGACCCGCGGCGCAUUAGCUAGUUGGUGGGGUAAUGGCUCACCAAGGCGACGAUGCGUAGCCGACCUGAGAGGGUGAUCGGCCACACUGGGACUGAGACACGGCCCAGACUCCUACGGGAGGCAGCAGUAGGGAAUCUUCCGCAAUGGACGAAAGUCUGACGGAGCAACGCCGCGUGAGUGAUGAAGGUUUUCGGAUCGUAAAGCUCUGUUGUUAGGGAAGAACAAGUGCGAGAGUAACUGCUCGCACCUUGACGGUACCUAACCAGAAAGCCACGGCUAACUACGUGCCAGCAGCCGCGGUAAUACGUAGGUGGCAAGCGUUGUCCGGAAUUAUUGGGCGUAAAGGGCUCGCAGGCGGUUUCUUAAGUCUGAUGUGAAAGCCCCCGGCUCAACCGGGGAGGGUCAUUGGAAACUGGGAAACUUGAGUGCAGAAGAGGAGAGUGGAAUUCCACGUGUAGCGGUGAAAUGCGUAGAGAUGUGAGGAACACCAGUGGCGAAGGCGACUCUCUGGUCUGUAACUGACGCUGAGGAGCGAAAGCGUGGGGAGCGAACAGGAUUAGAUACCCUGGUAGUCCACGCCGUAAACGAUGAGUGCUAAGUGUUAGGGGGUUUCCGCCCCUUAGUGCUGCAGCUAACGCAUUAAGCACUCCGCCUGGGGAGUACGGUCGCAAGACUGAAACUCAAAGGAAUUGACGGGGGCCCGCACAAGCGGUGGAGCAUGUGGUUUAAUUCGAAGCAACGCGAAGAACCUUACCAGGUCUUGACAUCCUCUGACAACCCUAGAGAUAGGGCUUUCCCUUCGGGGACAGAGUGACAGGUGGUGCAUGGUUGUCGUCAGCUCGUGUCGUGAGAUGUUGGGUUAAGUCCCGCAACGAGCGCAACCCUUGAUCUUAGUUGCCAGCAUUCAGUUGGGCACUCUAAGGUGACUGCCGGUGACAAACCGGAGGAAGGUGGGGAUGACGUCAAAUCAUCAUGCCCCUUAUGACCUGGGCUACACACGUGCUACAAUGGACAGAACAAAGGGCUGCGAGACCGCAAGGUUUAGCCAAUCCCAUAAAUCUGUUCUCAGUUCGGAUCGUAGUCUGCAACUCGACUACGUGAAGCUGGAAU